CGAACCUGUUGCGCAGCCUGUCACGGCCGCUCGGGCUCCGCGGCGCCGCCUCAGCCCCACAACAACAUGGCGGCCGCGGCCUCCGCAGGAAGCCGGGGGGCGGGGUGGGAGGCGACGGUCCGGGUAGCCGACUGCCCGCCCGCUGCCGGGCACCGACUCCCCCACCCUCGGGAACCCGAAAUUGGCCCGGGCGCGGCUCGUCACCCCCAGAGCCCCAGGGCAGCGGACCCCGCGGUCCUGGUCCUAGUGCUCCGCUCUCCCCUCGGGGAAGCCCCGAAGCCCCGGACGCGGCAGCCCUUCCUGGAGGGGCGCCGACCCACGUGGCUCCUCCUCCGCGAGGUGACAUGUUGAGGCUGGGUGGUGCUUUUCCCGCCGCCGCAGACCCCACAGUUUUGGAAAAGGGCCAAACGGUGUAUGGUGCGUGCCUGCUGCACCUCCCGUGGCGCUCUCCCUGGAGCCCUCUCACUCACUACAGUAUCUUCGCCGACCUGGGGGCUCGAUUCCCCUGGAAUGGGGAGUGGGGCGGGAGGAGGUUGUUCCCACCCUUGCUCAUGGGUGUGUUGCAGGCCUUUCCCUCAGGUAGCGGAGAAGGACUCACUGUACCCAGCGGUGGCCCAUGCAGCGUUCCUCACCCUCCUCCAUCACAAACAAAAAAGGGCAAGAAAGGAGCCUUCCAACCCUCAUCCACGCGCAGAGCAACUACCCCGUAUAGUCUGGCCGAGCAGUAAGAAGAUAGUCACCUCUCCGUGAACUCCACGACCUGGGGGUCUGCAGGUGCUGGACGUGCUUCCCCGCCUGAUAGCUGCCUGACAGAAGCUAAAUGUCGAGAUGGUGUAACCAAAAGAUGGGAAUAGCCUGGAUGUCAGAUGUGCUUAGAAGGGAGAUGUCCAGAAGAGCCACGGUACCUGCGGCUAACUUCAUAUCCUCAUUCCUACUGGAUUUCCAUCGCACACCAGUUAUCUCCGGCUACCGCUGUUCACUGACAGCUGUUCUGUGCCCACCAUGCGGCCACCCUUCUGCUGGUAACUGGACUCUCAUUCCCAUCUGUGGAAAUCCCUGCCUCCCCAGUGUGGUUGCUUUGGCUGCGGCUUCACCCCUGGCUCAGGCACAGAGCUUGUGACCUAAAUCAAUCCAAAUAUUGCAUUCCCCUGGACAGACUGAUUCAGAAUC